CAAUAGCGUAUAUUAAAGUUGUUGCGGUUAAAAAGCUCGUAGUUGGAUUUCUGUUGAGGGACGUCGGUCCGCACUAUGUGCGUGUAUCUGACUGUGCCUCGGCAUCCUCUCGAAUAUCGGUCUGCGCUUCAUUGCGUGGGUCGGACUUCGGGACUUUUACUUUGAGGAAAUUAGAGUGUUCACGGCAGGCAAGCGCCCUGAAUAUAUUAGCAUGGAAUAAUGAUAUAGGAUCUUGGUCCUAUUUUGUUGGUUUCUAGGGCUAAGAUAAUGAUUAAUAGGGACAAUUGGGGGCAUUCGUAUUAACGCGUCAGAGGUGGAAUUCUUGGAUUGCGUUACGACGAACUACUGCGAAAGCAUUUGCCAAGGAUGUUUUCAUUGA
rnacentral:rRNA from 1 species